GUCUUAUCCCCAAACCUUGGGUUUGUACCAUUACCAGGUCGAAUUAGAGAUGGAAAUACAUGCAUGGGUCUUGAACAGAAAGUCUCUCAAUACUCGAAGCUUGAAACUUGGCGAGUUGCUUUUCUCUGUGAAGAAUCAGCAUUUUACAGCAAUUUUGGAAAGAGUGGAGCUCUAUGCAUCGGGGAGCCAUCCAAUUCGAAGAUCGACACAUUGUGGGGUUGUGCUGGGUUGUGGUACUUGUGAGAUAAUGGUCAUGAUCGAUCCAAUUUUUGUUUGAUAGGAUGAAGAUAAGGCUGUGGUUUCACGGAAUGCUAUGGCUACUGGUUAUUCUCAGAUUGUUAGAUUUGAGAAUGCUAUUGGUUUAUUUGAAAAGAUAAAGGAGUGGAAGAUUGAGUUAAAUGUUGUCAACUGGAGAAUGAUGGCUUUGCAUGGAUGUGUUUCGGUAAAUGAUGGAUUGUGGCUCAGAGCCACAUGUUGUUAAUAAUGACAUUUGUUUUAGUCUGCACUAGCUCUGCAUUUUUUUUUUGAUAAGAAGCUCUGCACAUCAAUCUUAAAAUGAAGCUAUAGCUUCUUCCAAUUCCAAUAUUCUAUGUUCCGUGCAACCUUGAACUAGUUAUGAGCUUAUUAACCCUUCUUCAUUUAUUUCUUCUUAUUUAAUUUUUUUUUUGAAAGGUUAUUUGAUUUUUCUUCAAAGAGCUCAAAUGAUCAACUGGUCUUGUUGGAAGUUGUUGAUUUAUAGGGGCAAUAGACGUCUAUUCACUACACCAAAAACCUUAUCAGACAACGGCAGAAAACCGUUGUGGGAUUUGGAGACCCACCGUUGUAGAGUGAGCCGUUGUUUGUUGAAAAUUCAGACAACGGUGGAACACAGUUGUGUGAGAA